AGCGGAGGAAAAGAAACCAACCGGGAUUGCCUUAGUAACGGCGAGUGAAGCGGCAAAAGCUCAAAUUUGAAAUCUGGUACCUUCGGUGCCCGAGUUGUAAUUUGGAGAGGGCAACUUUGGGGCCGUUCCUUGUCUAUGUUCCUUGGAACAGGACGUCAUAGAGGGUGAGAAUCCCGUGUGGCGAGGAGUGCGGUUCUUUGUAAAGUGCCUUCGAAGAGUCGAGUUGUUUGGGAAUGCAGCUCUAAGUGGGUGGUAAAUUCCAUCUAAAGCUAAAUAUUGGCGAGAGACCGAUAGCGAACAAGUACAGUGAUGGAAAGAUGAAAAGAACUUUGAAAAGAGAGUGAAAAAGUACGUGAAAUUGUUGAAAGGGAAGGGCAUUUGAUCAGACAUGGUGUUUUGUGCCCUCUGCUCCUUGUGGGUAGGGGAAUCUCGCAUUUCACUGGGCCAGCAUCAGUUUUGGUGGCAGGAUAAAUCCAUAGGAAUGUAGCUUGCCUCGGUAAGUAUUAUAGCCUGUGGGAAUACUGCCAGCUGGGACUGAGGACUGCGACGUAAGUCAAGGAUGCUGGCAUAAUGGUUAUAUGCCGCCCGU
rnacentral:rRNA from 1 species